GCGGCUAAUGAACCGGAAGCCUCACACAUUUACAGAAAAUGGCUUCUGUCUGCAUUGAAAAAUAAGGUGACACAGUGAAGACGAGGGCAUGGAUGCUGACAUUGGACGGUCAGUUUGAAGUAUGCUGAAGAUGCUUCUUGCACUCUGGAAUUUACCAAAGGUACUUCUUGGGCAUCAAUCCAAAGAGGCAGAGAGGACAUAUCAACCAGCAAGUCUGUACACUGAUCAGGAAACUCAUUGAGUUCGAAUGGAUGUCAAUCUAGUGUGCAAGCAAUGUUCCAACGACAAAAUGGACAAAAUCAACUCUGGCUUUGUGUUAAGCUAGAUGUAGUCAUGCAGUAAGAUGAUCACUGAAUAUGUUAUAUAGUGUGUCCUGGCUCGAUGGAGAGAAGCAUGACCGUCUGAACCUCUUUGCUGGAAAGUUUAAACAGAAUUUAUUAAACUGCA